GGUAAAAAAAUUGGAACGAUACAGAGAAGAUUAGCUUGGCCCCUGCACAAGGAUGACACGCAAAUUUGUGAAGCAUUCCAUAUUAAA
rnacentral:snRNA from 1 species